UACAGAGGUCUCAACCGUUGUUCGGAUUCAUUGGGCGUAAAGGGUGCGUAGGCGGUCGCGCAAGUCGGAUGUGAAAUCUUGGGGCUCAACCCUGAAACUGCAUUCGAUACUGCGUGGCUCGAGUACUGGAGAGGAGACUGGAAUUUACGGUGUAGCAGUGAAAUGCGUAGAUAUCGUAAGGAAGACCAGUGGCGAAGGCGAGUUCUGGACAGUUACUGACGCUGAGGCACGAAGGCCAGGGGAGCAAACGGG
rnacentral:rRNA from 1 species